rnacentral:lncRNA from 1 species
AAGAAAAAUGACCAAAAAUAAUAUGCUCAUUUUUCAAGCUUCAGCAGAAGAAACACUUCCUAUAAAUCUCGCCCAAACAGGAAAGGACAAAGAUGCAUGCAUAAGUAAAAAUAUGACAGGUCACAAUCACGCCGGGGUGGUCCUGGGGCGAGGCCCAAGUUCCCUGCACGCACCGGCACAAGCACGCACACUGUGAUGGGGAGGACGUUUACGUACCAUGUCCACACCACUCCAGACUUGGAGAAGCAUCAGGGUGUCCGACUACGUGGGUUUCAUAGCUGUGGAAAAGCCAAAGGGGAGACUCCUGAAGAAAGGCGGUGAAGACUGUGAAGAGCGGGUCAGGAAGAUGAGCACAGCACUGCUACUCCUGUGGGCACAGGGACAGCAUGUCUCCAGCCAGCGCCACCUUGUUUAAUACAUGGGAACUCACUGAAAUUCAUUCUGUAUUUUGCCCACAAAGUUUUAAAGCUUUCAUCCACAGUCAGGAAUUAAACUUAUACCAAUGAGAGCCUCACACAUUCAAGGAUGUACUAAGCACUACAGGCCUCACAGAAACAGAGAUCCCAUCUUGGAGUUUUCAGUCCCACAUGGGAGAUAAAGGGUUUUGAACAUGAAAUGACAAAAACAACAGCAAGAAGAAAAUUCUCGUCCUUUUUCAUUACUAUCAAACUCAAAUAAAUGUCUUGGCUCUUACAUUACAUUCAUUCUUCAACCAUUGUGGUCUGGCUUCCACUUCCUUCACUUCACCAACAUGGCUCUGCCAAAGGAAGCCUGUGAUCUCUAGGCCAUCACUUUAAUUGAUCUCUCUACAACAUUUAUCCUGGUCGUUAAGCCCUCCUUACAACAUUCUUCUCUCUUUGUUUUUAUGGCUCUGUCUCUCCUGCUUCUUUAACCUGAUAAUGCAUACUUGAUUUUUC